AAAAUGAGGUUCAUGCUGAUACAAUGGAUCGAAGAUCCCCCAAAAUGGGAUGUGCUUCCAACCAAUAAAAUGAUACAUGGCCGCUGUGAAAUUGGUUGUAUAUGUGACGUUUCAUACGAAGAUGAGUCAAGCCCUGCAAAAAUUUUAAACAUUGGUAAGUAACGUUAUGUAUUUGUAAUAUGUUUGUAAUAUGUCAGUUCUGUGAUACAGUUGAUGCAAACUUUGAUAAUCAUUACUAUUUAUAAUUUAAGGAACUAGAUCUGCAAUGCUGAAGCAGCUAAAUACGGUCAUCAACAGGACUGGGCCUGAAGGAAAUGGAGAACAAUUAGGGAGAGGGCAGCGCAAAAAAUACCGCCGAAUACUGUCGGAGAGCUCCAGCAGUGAGGAAUAUGAGUCUGUCAACAAACAGGUUGCUGCAAAGACCAUAAACAGGAUACGAGCCAGAUCUUUUCUACAGCAGUAUAAUCAAUAAAAAGAAUCAAACAGGGAGGCAGUAACAUCUAGAAACCGUGACAGUGAAUUUAAUGUUCAAAUACUUGCAGAACUGAGAGAAAUCAAGAGUGUUCUUUUGGAAACUCUGACACUUUUAAAAAAUGGUAACCUGUGCAAAGUUUUUAAUCUGAGUAAAUGAUUGUUUCAAAUCAAAUGCUAUAAAAAGUUAUUUUGUUGUAGGAUGCACUCCAUUAAUGACUGCGCCAAUCCCAAACACAUUGGGAACUCCUCCUGGACCCACUUCAGAUUUGAUCCCCUGCAGUUCAGAGUCUUCUGCAGUCAUACCAGCCCCGAGUUCCUCUCUUCAGACUCUUUAUGUAAAGGAGUCUAGAAGUAAUGGUAACUGCAAAAAGGUAAGAAUUGGCUCCAACACAUCAAUCUCUGCUGAACAGUUUGCCCACGUAAAAUGGACUGAUCACAAAAAAGCCACAAAAGACCUCUUGAUGGCAGUGUUUGGAAGAGGCAUUCUCGCAACACACUGCUACAGUGGAAGAUGUUCCAAUGCAUUCAAAAACAAAGCAGCCAAGCCUCAACUUGAUUCUGAAAAAGUUUCUGACAUCAUUAGUAAGUAAUGAUUUUCUGAAAAUUAAGUUUUGGCAGGAUUACCAUAUUUUAAGAUAUUCAGGAAUUUGUAAUACUAUUGCAUCAAUCUAUGUCUAAAUAUGCCAUGUAUUGUAUACGCGAUUUCAAAAUAAAAGUUUCUGCAUGUGGCCA
ensembl:lncRNA